rnacentral:rRNA from 1 species
AUUGAACGCUGGCGGCAUGCUUUACACAUGCAAGUCGAACGGUAACAGGCCGCAAGGUGCUGACGAGUGGCGAACGGGUGAGUAAUGCAUCGGAACGUGCCCAGUCGUGGGGGAUAACGCAGCGAAAGCUGUGCUAAUACCGCAUACGAUCUAUGGAUGAAAGCGGGGGACCGCAAGGCCUCGCGCGAUUGGAGCGGCCGAUGUCAGAUUAGGUAGUUGGUGGGGUAAAGGCCUACCAAGCCGACGAUCUGUAGCUGGUCUGAGAGGACGACCAGCCACACUAGGACUGAGACACGGCCCAGACUCCUACGGGAGGCAGCAGUGGGGAAUUUUGGACAAUGGGCGCAAGCCUGAUCCAGCAAUGCCGCGUGCAGGAAGAAGACCUUCGGGUUGUAAACUGCUUUUGUACGGAACGAAACGGUCUGGGUUAAUACCCUGGGCUAAUGACGGUACCGUAAGAAUAAGCACCGGCUAACUACGUGCCAGCAGCCGCUGUAACAC